UUUUAUAUUUUUUUUUAUUCCGAGAUACGAACACACACAGACAUGAGCUGACUCUUAUUUAGUGUGUGUGCGCUAGUCGACUGUCGACACAAGCUUUCCUUCUGCCCGCCCGCUACCAGCCUGUUUCCAGCCCGCUCGAGAGUGCCCAGCUUGAGAGCUGCCUGCAGUUAAUUUAUUACUAAUUAGUAAUUGUCGGAACUGUCCUUGAAGACUGGAACGAGCAAUGUCAGAACACGAGGAUAACCAAAAAGAAGACAAGAAAAAAGAAGAAAGAAGGAAAGAAUUAGAACAGAAAAAAUUAAAAGCAGAAAAAGAGUUAAGAUGUAUAGAGAGGGAAUUGGACGAAUACAUCUUAAACUCUGAAGAUGAAAUGGAUUUUUCAGAAGAAGAAACGGAUACAGAAAAAGAAAAUAAAAAGAUCCAACAAAUCGA